UACGUAGGGUGCAAGCGUUGUCCGGAAUUAUUGGGCGUAAAGAGCUCGUAGGCGGUCUGUCGCGUCGGAUGUGAAAAUCCAGGGCUUAACCCUGGACCUGCAUUCGAUACGGGCAGACUAGAGUUCGGUAGGGGAGACUGGAAUUCCUGGUGUAGCGGUGAAAUGCGCAGAUAUCAGGAGGAACACCGGUGGCGAAGGCGGGUCUCUGGGCCGAUACUGACGCUGAGGAGCGAAAGCGUGGAGAGCGAACAGG
rnacentral:rRNA from 1 species